CUUUUUGUACACAACUUCUACUUAAAAAAAUCAGUGGGUGUGACUUAUAGACAAGGCUAAGAAAUCAUGUUAAUGUACCAAUGUUUGUACCAACCUUUCAAUGCAAAAUAUGGGGCGAGACUUAUAA